GAUGAACGCUGGCGGCGUGCCUAAUACAUGCGAGUCGAGCGAACAGAUGAGGAGCUUGCUCCUCUGACGUUAGCGGCGGACGGGUGAGUAACACGUGGAUAACCUACCUAUAAGACUGGGAUAACUUCGGGAAACCGGAGCUAAUACCGGAUAAUAUAUUGAACCGCAUGGUUCAAUAGUGAAAGACGGUUUUGCUGUCACUUAUAGAUGGAUCCGCGCCGCAUUAGCUAGUUGGUAAGGUAACGGCUUACCAAGGCAACGAUGCGUAGCCGACCUGAGAGGGUGAUCGGCCACACUGGAACUGAGACACGGUCCAGACUCCUACGGGAGGCAGCAGUAGGGAAUCUUCCGCAAUGGGCGAAAGCCUGACGGAGCAACGCCGCGUGAGUGAUGAAGGUCUUCGGAUCGUAAAACUCUGUUAUUAGGGAAGAACAAAUGUGUAAGUAACGAUGCACGUCUUGACGGUACCUAAUCAGAAAGCCACGGCGAACUACGU
rnacentral:rRNA from 1 species